AUAACUGAUUUCCCUUGGUGCUUAGAGCCUGCUGCAGCCUUCUAGCACCAUUUGAAAUCGGUUAU
rfam:Larimichthys crocea isolate SSNF unplaced genomic scaffold scaffold211, whole genome shotgun sequence.